AUAAGGAAACCUAGCUUUCGGGCAGUCGAUCGGGGAUGAGUUUGCGUCCCAUUAGCUAGUUGGUGGGGUAAAGGCCUACCAAGGCUGCGAUGGGUAGCUGGUCUGAGAGGAUGAUCAGUCACACUGGAACUGGAACACGGUCCAGACUCCUACGGGAGGCAGCAGUGAGGAAUUUUGCGCAAUGGGGGCAACCCUGACGCAGCAAUGCCGCGUGAGUGAAGAAGGCCUUUUGGGUCGUAAAGCUCUGUCAGCAGGGGAAAGAAAUUGGGGAUAGAU
rnacentral:rRNA from 1 species